AGCAUAACGUUGAACAAGAGGAGUAGCUGGUUUAGGUACUUUUAGAGAGAGAACGAAUGGGUGGGACGUUCUUAGUAGCAGCUGGUGAAGGUAGCUUGGGAGUUUUUAUCUUGAAUCUUUUAGUAGAGAUAAACGGGUCGUGACCGUUAACUCACAUGGAGAGGUAAUAGGAGAAACUAUUACAAAUUAGGUGGUACCGCGUAAAUCAAUACGUCCUAAAA
rnacentral:ncRNA from 1 species